CAGCCAAUCAGCAUGUAAUAUUCGAACCACGACAUAAUUAUUGUCAAAAACUAAAAAUCCAUGUAGGUAAGACCAUAUUGCCUCAUGUAGGACAAUUGAUGCUGUGCUUACGCCCCCUAUCGACCAUUGUAAGGCAGUGCUUGGCUCUGCAGAAACAAGGACAUUCUCACGUUUCUAUUCGAUCAGUCUGCAAUAACCGGAGACCGGAGCCUCAGGAAAGCGAGUCGUAGGCACCGGGUUGCUUUGGUUGUAUCCAAGCAUUCAUUAUACCAGAUACCGACUGCCUUGUGAGAAGACGAAGUGCUCACAGUGAAGCCAGAGGAAAGCCAGAAGAUGGUUACAGAAGGAAAGUAGUUUGCAAGCUGGUCUGCUACUGUUGGCGAGCCACUGGAGGAUACUUGGUGACCAACUUGUUUUGGUCAUCGAUAGAGAUCGUCCAGGAGGGUGCUUGUCUGGGAAUGACCUUCAUGACCUCACCACCGCUCCGCCCCGGAAAUAUCAACCGCCAACCAGAAGCUCUGUACUACGGCCUACAGGAUGUGGUUGACUGGUCCCAGUGAUGGACAGGUGACCAGCCAGCCCCCUAGCUGCCCUCUCCUGCCGUGACUCCCACCCCUCCGCCCC
ensembl:lncRNA